UACAGAGGUCUCGAGCGUUAGGCGGAAUCACUGGGCUUAAAGCGUGUGUAGGUGGAUGCCUAAGUACCUUGUGAAAUCCCACGGCUUAACCGUGGAACUGCUUGGUAUACUGGGUGUCUUGAGUCACUCAGGGGCGAGCGGAACAAAUGGUGGAGCGGUGAAAUGCGUAGAUAUCAUUUGGGAACGCCAAUGGGUGAAAAACAGCUCGCU
rnacentral:rRNA from 1 species